CGGAGGGGCUAGCGUUGUUCGGAAUUACUGGGCGUAAAGCGCACGUAGGCGGAUUGGAAGGUCAGAGGUGAAAUCCCAGGGCUCAACCUUGGAACUGCCUUUGAAACUCCCAGUCUUGAGUUCGAGAGAGGUGAGUGGAAUUCCGAGUGUAGAGGUGAAAUUCGUAGAUAUUCGGAGGAACACCAGUGGCGAAAGGCGGCUCACUGGCUCGAUACUGACGCUGAGGUGCGAAAGCGUGGGGAGCAAACAGGAUU
rnacentral:rRNA from 1 species